GACGAACGCUGGCGGCGUGCCUAACACAUGCAAGUCGAGCGGGGAGGAGAAAGCUUGCUUUCGAAUCCUAGCGGCGGACGGGUGAGUAACGCGUGAGCAACCUGCCUCAAACAGGGGGAUAACGCAUCGAAAGAUGUGCUAAUACCGCGUAAGACCACAGCACCGCAUGGUGCAGAGGUCAAAGGAGCAAUCCGGUUUGAGAUGGGCUCGCGUCCGAUUAGCUAGUUGGUGAGAUAACAGCCCACCAAGGCGACGAUCGGUAGCCGACCUGAGAGGGUGAUCGGCCACACUGGAACUGAGAAACGGUCCAGACUCCUACGGGAGGCAGCAGUGGGGAAUAUUGGGCAAUGGGCGAAAGCCUGACCCAGCAACGCCGCGUGAGGGAAGAAGGGUUUCGGGCUCGUAAACCUCUGUCCUAUGGGACGAAUAAAUGACGGUACCAUAGGAGGAAGCCCCGGCUAACUACGUG
rnacentral:rRNA from 1 species